CAAGUUACUUGUUGGGAUUAUG
rnacentral:miRNA from 1 species